CGAAACUCCAGCAACAAAGAAAAGUAGUCGGAGAAGGAGCGGCGACUCCGGGUCGCCGGCCCCUCCUCCCUUAGGAAGGCCGAAUACAGUCAUGGCCACCCAGGUAAUGGGGCAGUCUUCUGGAGGAGGAGGGCUGUUCACCAGCAGUGGCAACAUUGGCAUGGCUUUGCCUAACGACAUGUAUGACUUGCAUGACCUCUCCAAAGCUGAACUGGCUGCGCCUCAGCUUAUCAUGUUGGCAAAUGUGGCCUUAACUGGGGAAGUAAAUGGCAGCUGCUGUGAUUACCUGGUUGGUGAAGAAAGACAGAUGGCAGAAUUGAUGCCUGUUGGAGAUAACAAUUUUUCAGAUAGUGAUGGAGAAGGACUUGAGGAGUCUGCUGAAAUAAAAGGUGAACCCAGUGGACUGGAAAACAUGGAACUGGAAAGUUUGGAACUGAGUGUUGUAGAACCACAGCCUGUGUUUGAGGUAUCAGCUGCCCCAGAAAUUUAUAGCUCAAAUAAAGAUCUUCCUCCUGAAACAUCUGGAGCAGAGGACAAAUGCAAGAACUUGAAGAGCAAACCCUUUCGCUGUAAACCAUGCCAGUAUGAAGCAGAAUCUGAAGAACAGUUUGUGCAUCACAUCAGAGUUCAUAGUGCCAAGAAAUUUUUUGUGGAAGAAAGUGCAGAGAAGCAAGCAAAAGCCAGAGAAUCUGGGUCUUCUACCACAGAAGAGGGAGAUUUCUCCAAGGGCCCCAUUCGCUGUGACCGCUGUGGCUACAAUACCAAUCGAUAUGAUCACUAUACUGCUCACCUGAAACACCACACCAGAGCUGGGGAUAAUGAGCGAGUUUACAAGUGCAUCAUUUGCACAUACACCACAGUAAGCGAAUAUCACUGGAGGAAACACUUGAGAAACCAUUUUCCAAGGAAAGUAUACACAUGUGGAAAAUGCAACUAUUUUUCAGACAGAAAAAAUAAUUACGUUCAACAUGUUCGAACUCAUACAGGAGAACGCCCAUAUAAAUGUGAACUUUGUCCUUACUCAAGUUCUCAGAAGACUCAUCUAACUAGACAUAUGCGUACUCAUUCAGGUGAGAAGCCAUUUAAAUGUGAUCAGUGCAGUUAUGUGGCCUCUAAUCAACAUGAAGUAACCCGCCAUGCAAGACAGGUUCAUAAUGGGCCUAAACCUCUUAACUGUCCACAUUGUGACUACAAAACAGCAGAUAGAAGUAACUUCAAAAAACAUGUAGAGCUACAUGUGAAUCCACGGCAGUUCAAUUGUCCUGUAUGCGACUAUGCAGCUUCUAAGAAGUGUAAUCUGCAGUAUCAUUUCAAAUCUAAGCAUCCUACUUGUCCUAAUAAAACAAUGGAUGUCUCAAAAGUGAAACUAAAGAAAACCAAAAAGCGAGAGGCUGACUUGCCUGAUAACAACAUUACCAAUGAAAAAACAGAAAUAGAACAGACAAAAAUAAAGGGGGAUGUGGCUGGAAAGAAGAAUGAGAAGUCUGUAAAAGUGGAGAAAAAAGAUAAUGUUUCAAAAGAGAAAAAGUCUUGUAGUAAUGCUUCAAUCCAAGUGACUACCAGAACUCGCAAAUCAGCAAUGGAAACUAAAGAAAUGGAUGUGCACGCAGGAAAUAAUUCAGAAGCAACCUGUAAAACCAAGAAAGGCAAAAGGAAGAUGGAAGCUGAAGCCCAUCCCUUACAAGAUCCUGUUAACGAGGAGGAACCUGUGACAAAAAAGAAAAAGAAGGCAGAAAGCAAAUCCAAAAAUAAUCAGGAAGUGCCAAAAGGUGACAACAAAGUAGAGGAGAAUAAAAAGCAAAAUACCUGCAUGAAGAAAAGUACAAAGAAGAAAACUCUGAAAAAUAAGUCAAGUAAAAAAAGCAGCAAGCCUGCUCAGAAGGAGGUUGCUCAGAAAGGGCCUGCUCAGACGGAGCCCUCUCCCAGGGGGCCUGCACAGACAGAGCCUUCUCCCAGGGGGCCUGCUCAGACGGAGUCUUCUCCCAGGGGGCCUGUGCAGAUGGAGCCUUCUCCCAGGGGGCCUGCUCACCGGGGGCCUGCUCAGAUGGAGCCUUCUCCCAGGGGGCCUGCACAGACAGAGCCUUCUCCCAGGGGGCCUGCUCAGACGGAGCCUUCUCCAAGGGGGCCUGGGCAGACGGAGCCACCUCCUGUCCCAGAGCCUGCUCAGACGGAUAUGGGUCAGAGGGAGCCGCCUCCUGCCACAGAGCCUGCUCCAACAGAGUCCCCUCCUUCUGUGGGGCCUGCUCAGAUGGAGGUAGUUCAGAUGGAGCCUCCUCCCACAGAGCCUCCUCUUCACAUGGAACCAAUUCCCAAAAAGUCUCCUCGAAAAGAUAAUAAAAAGGAAAAGUCCCACACGCAGAGUGAAAUGGCACAGAAGGAGCAAGUCCUUAUUGAAGUUGGCUUAGUGCCUGUUACAGAUAGCCAGCUUCUAAAGGAAAGUGUGGGUGCGAGAGAUCUCUUGCCACCAUCAACACCACUGCCAAAGGAAAACUUAACAGAAGAGGAGUCAAAAGACCAAAAAUUAUUCACCGAAGACGAAGGAAAUAAAGAAGCCCCUCUUCAAAAAGAAGUAAAAGAGGCAGAUAAAAGUCUAGCUGGUGUUGCUGCUAUUAUCAAUGAAUCUGCUAAUAUUUCAUCCUCUGAACAAAACUUGAAUAUGCCAGAGGGUGAAACUUCAGAUGGUGAGUGUCAGGCUGGCGCAGUGCUUUGUGAAAUGGAAAUGGACACUGAUGAGAACAAAACAGAGAAUCCCCCUGGCAAAGACUCAGCAGUUGAAGAACAAAUGUCACCACUGCUGCUUCCCCUAGCAAUAGAAAACCAUGAAGCAGUGUCCAAAACUACUGCGACAUCACCUCCUGUCACCACGGCAGUAAAUGAGUCUCAGGAAAUGGAUGAAGACGAAGGCAUCCAUAGUCAUGAUGGAAGUGAUCUAAGUGACAACAUGUCAGAGGGUAGUGAUGAUUCUGGAUUGAAUGGGGCCCGGCCAGUUCCACAAGAAACCAGCAGGAAAAAUGCUAAGGAGGCCUUGGCAGGCAAAGUGGCUGAGGGAGAUUUUGUUUGUAUCUUCUGUGAUCGUUCUUUUCGAAAGGAAAAAGAUUAUAGCAAGCACCUCAAUCGCCAUUUGGUUAAUGUAUACUUCCUUGAAAAAGCAGCUAAAGGGCAGGAAUAAUUAAACGUAGGAUAAGGCUUCAGUUCUUAGUUUAUAAGAUCUAUUACAUUUAAUAUUCAUUUAUAGUUAUAGACAACGUUUUAUUUUUUAAAUUGCUUUAAUUAGUGUCCAAUGUUGAUUUUUAAGUGGCACUCUUUUUCUUAGGAUUCUGUACACCUAUUGAUGGGUAAAUUUUAGCAUAUCCAAGGAAGUUAGUGUACUAAACCAGCAGACUCCUAAAUCUGUUAGUUUAUACAUUUAAUUGAAAUGAGAAGGCCAAGGUGGUAUUGUAGCAUUCCGUUGCUUUGUCUGGCUGUAAUUUGUCACUUUUCUCGCCAUGUCUGUCGUCUUGUUUCACUUUAGUGUUUUCUUAGUUCCUGGUUUAGCGCUAUAAAAAUUGGCAUACGUAAAUAGCAAAUUACUUGAAAAAUUUGCCUGCUUUAUAUAAAGUUAGCACUUUAAAAUUUUUUUAGAGAUGAGAAGAGACAUUUAAAUUGAAGAAAAAUUCUCCCAACAGUGGACAUUGUAUCAGUCCAGGUAUUUACUUCCUGAAUUUUGAUCAAUAUUUCUUAUUUGUGUGUGUUAAUUGUCAUAAAAACAAUGAUUUUGGUGUGUGUGGUUUUUUGGGGUUUUUUUUGUUUUUUUUGUUUUUGGUUUUUUUUUUGGUGCUUUAAUGGCUUAAGAUGUUGCACAUUGUUGUUUUUUUUUAACCUAUGCAGUUCAAUUUUUUUCUAGAAAUAGCAUUUGUGUUGAACAGUAACACUUUAUACAUAUAUAUGCAUGUUUAUUUUGUCCUCUUUGGAGGGAUGCUUUUAGUCUUGUUUGCAAAAGGGCAGUUUUCCUUUUCCUUUGCUGCAAUUGUCUUUUUUGCAGAAUAUGUGUGCAAAUUUGUGAGCAAAUGAAACAUGCAGGUUCAAUCCAUUGAUUUUGAAUUUCACAUCUUAUAUCUAUGCCAGAAUCUGUAUUUCACAUAAGUUAUUUAUUUUAAAUGGAUGUAGUGAAUUCACAGCUCUCAUUUUGACCUGUACAAGAAACAAACCACUAGGCUCUAUAUUGAACAGAUUUUUAUCUCAGAAACCAACCAUAAGUGAAAAUUUUUGGCUUGUUUUAGUAUAGCUACUUCCUAAAUGUUCAGUGUUAAGUCAUAUCUUUGAGGAAAGCCUUUUUACAUAGAUGGUUGGUGUCCAUAUGGCUACUUGGCUGAAUAAAGAACUGAAAGUGAUAUUUGGAAACUGCAAACCUGGAAUUAGGAGACAUAAUUACUCUUUCAAGUUAUAUAGAAUAUCAGUUGUGAGAGUCCAAAGCCAUAGCAAUUACACAGGAAACCUAGGUGGAGAGAAGUAGUAUGAGUGCUGGGAGACCAGCUGCUACUUACUUCCUAUGAAUACAGUGCAAAAGGCAGGUGAAACUUAAGUACAGUCCAGAUUUUAAAAAUCACACUUUCUCAGGGAUCUCCACAAACUAGUGGGUGUCCUGGCUGUCUCUGACAGCCUCUUUCUACAGGUGAGGCCUCAGAUGAAUUGCAGCUAUCCUGGUGUUCCCAUGGGGGCACUUUGUAUGAAGAAAGAGUGUACUCCCAAACUUUUUUGGUAGGUUCUUUGGCCAGUUGCCAAAGAAUAUGAAAGAAUCCAACAUUGGAUUUUUCUUGCUGAUAGCAAUUAUUCAUUACAGUAAAAGUGUGAUCCCAAUAGGGAAUCUUGAACAGUGCUGAUCCUCCCAUGUUCUGUUCUGAAAUAACCACUUUCUAUGUCAUUUAUUUUCUUUUAUCUGAUGAUCUCUUUGAGGCAGGUUUCAGAGUUUGGCAAUGCAACAUGAAAGAUUAGGAAAAGCAUUGAUGAAGUGUGGGUGGAAAACUUGUUAAAAAUCUGAGAGUGAAGUUUGAGUUAAAAGACAUUUGAACUCGGAAUUGACUGGGAGGCCAAAGAUUUAAAGAAGAGAAGAUUCUCUCAAGACAUGAGGAGUGGAAAAAAAGGGGGAGAGGGUGAUGGAGAAAACUGUGCAGAACAUCAAAACAACUGGAUUGCAUUCUGUCCUGAUACAGCAAGUGACCCGGAGUGUAUUGAGUCCUAAAGAAUGGGAUGUUUCAUACUGAUGAGAGAUUCACCUUCUGACUUCUUUUGCAAGACUCCUAUCAGCAAAAAAGCAAAAUGAAUUUGCAAGAUAUAUUUUAUUGGCAUGGUAGAAUCAAGAACAAGGAGCCUGAAAGUUUGCCCGACCAAGGAUAUGUGGGGAAUUUAUCUUGAAUAUAAAUGCUAUUGAUGUCUGACUUGGUUUGUUAUCUUUAAUGAGUGAAAGAGUGGUUACAAGUGUCUUUCUCCAGUCCCUUUCUACCUCUUUUCCAGAGGCUUACACUUGUUAGGAUGUCUACAUAUGUGCUACAUUUACACUUAACCAGUUGGCCAUCUUUUUUUCUCCCCAAGUUCUCAGGGCUUGACUCAUUUGUAGGUAGUUACAGUGUAGAAGUAUGAGCUUCCAGCCAGGGUACUUCACAGCACUCUCCUCAGCUCCAUAAAGGCAGAUUGGUGAAGGUGCUAAGAACAAUGUGCUAGUGUUUGGUAAUAAGGGAAAGUUUCAGUGUUAAGAAAUUGCCUUUUCAAAGGAUUUUGAUGCUCACUGUAUCAAGUACUCUGUCAGCCUUUGAGAUAGAGCUGGGUUCACAAUGGGCCUCUCUUCCUAAGCACUAUAAAUGGGCAAACCAUUUUAACUUUACUGACCUAAUUUCUUCAUCUAUAAAAGGGGAUAUAUGGAAUUACUAUCCAAAGAGUGGCUUUGAGUGUUAAAUGCUUAUGAAGCGUUUACGCUGGUGCUUUUAUUAGGGCCUCUUUUAGCUACAUGAAAAGCCAAGUAAGUAUCCUUAAAUAUAUAAAGUCCUUCCUCUAUUUGGGCAUGAUUAAGUUGUACAGUUCACCUGCUUAUCUUGCAAAACUGAGCUUUUAAUGUUAAAGUAGUACGUGGGCUUUUGUAUUAAACUAUAUUGUAAUAUCUUAAGAGUCAGAAUGCUUUUAUUUUUUUUCCAAAUGCUUUUAUAUUCAUUGCUUUAUUUAAGCGGCUAAAAUAGGUCCUGGUCCUUAGUAGGGUAAAUGGUUGCCCAGGCCGAUAAUUGUGUGUGGUGAGUGUUUUUCCUUGAUUUCAGCUAAUUGAUAUACGAUGGUAGUUUUACUGUAAUUUUAAAAUUCUGAUAAUGCAGAAAUCUCUUCAUUUAUAGGCAAAGGUGUUUUUCUGGAUGCAAAGAGAGUCAAUCCAAGUAGCAGGAAAUAGCAAAUCUUGAGAAAGAGUUUUUAUUAAGAAACUUGAUUUUAAGAAAGGUUCAAACUUACAGAGAAGUUGCAAAAAAUGUUACCUUGAAAUUUUGUGUACCUUUCAUGUAGAUUCACUCACAUUUGCUUUCUGUAUAUUAUGUAUGUAUGAUUUGCUGAACCACCAGAAAUUAAGUGGCAUACCCCCUUUAUCUCUGAAAAUUCAGUUUGUGUCUCCUAGGGAUAGGGCAUUCUCUUGCACAACCACAUUAUAUAGUUAUCAAAUUCAAAACUUUUAAGAUUGGUAUAGUAUUUAUAUUACAAUCUAUAUUCAAAUUGUGCCAAAUGUCUUAACUACUAACCUUUAACAAUCCCCCUGUUCUAUCACCCAUUGCAUUUGUUGUCUCAUUUCUUCAGUUUCCUCUUAAUUUGGAACAGUCCUCUAGCCUGUUCUUCACAACAGUAAGAGUUUGAAAAGUUCAUGCCAGCUGUUUAAAAAAUGUUAAUGUAGAUUAUUCUAGUUGUUUCCUCAUGCCUCAAUUCAGGUUAUGCAUUUUGGAAGGAAUACUAAAUACUGGUGCAUUGUACCAGAACGCACACAUCAUGUCAGUUUAACCCAUUAUUGGUGUUCACUCUUAGUUAAGGUGUUGUCCACCAGAUUUCUCCAUUGUAAAGUUAUUUUUUCCCUGUAUAAUAUUCUGUGGGAGGAUAUAUUGAAACUAUCUGAACUUUCAACAAACCCAAUGAUUUUAGCAUAUAAUUAAUAUUUUUUUACAGUUUAUUAUUUUUUUAAUUAUUAUUUUUUUUUAACGUUUAUUUAUUUUUGAGACAGAGACAGAGCAUGAAUGGGGGAGGGUCAGAGAGAGAGGGAGACACAGAAUCUGAAACAGGCUCCAGGCUCUGAGCUGUCAGCACAGAGCCCGACUCGGGGCUCGAACUCACAUACCGCGAGAUCGUGACCUGAGCCGAAGUCGGAUGCUUAACCGACUGAGCCACCCAGGCGCCCCUUUACAGUUUAUUUUUGAGAGAGAGCAUGAGCGGUGGAGGGGCAGAGAGAGAGGGAGGGAAAGAGAAUCCCAAACAGGCUCCACCUCACAAACCAUGAGAUCAUAACCUGAGCCAAUAUCAAGAGUGGAACGCUUAACCAGCUGAGAACUGAACCACCCAGGUGCCCCUAGCAUAUAAUUAUUUUUGCUUGAAUCAGUUAUACCCUCCUGUUUGCUGGUACAGGGUCUGUCAAGAGGGGCUUUUUCUUCCCAUAGACUCCAGUUCUUGUUUCAUGCAUUUUACCUCAAUUCAGCCAGUGGGGGGUUGCUCUUUCUGACUCCUUUAAUAAGGCUAAGUUACAUUCUGUUAAUACAUUGAGGAUUCUUAUUUAUGACCAAAUACUUUGAAACAUACCAGAUUUCUCUCUGCAUAAGUCCUAACAGUAUUGUAAAAUUAUGAAAGCUUGCUGGGAUGUCUUAAGGGAUAAACUGCAGGUGGAAAUUUACCUGUGGUCAAGAUUCUGUCACCAGAAGGGGCAAUUUCAGAGAAUCAUGUCCUAAUUCUACACUGAUUUUUGAAAUGCUACAUACACCUUUUAUUUCUUCAUGUGUGUGCCCUAAUUGCUUUUUUAAAAUCACAUAAUGCAGGGGACCCUGGGUGGCUCAGUUGGUUAAGCACCUAACUAUAGCUUAUGUCGUGAUCUCACAGUUUGUGAGUUCAAGCCCUGCAUUGGGCUCUCUGCUGUCAGCACAAAGCCCACUUGAGAUCCUCUGUCCCCUUCUUUUUCUGCCCCUUCCCUGCUUGCACUCUCUAUGGCUCUCUCAAAAGAAACAUAAAAAAAAUCACAUAACGCAGGGGCGCCUGGGUGGUUCAGUCAGUUAAAUGUCUGACUCUUAAUUUCAGCUCAGGUCAUGAUCUCAAAGUUCAUGGGAUCGAGCCCCACGUUGGGCUUUGUGCUGACAGCACAGCCUGCUUGGGAUUCUCUCUCCCUCUCCUCUCCCCUGCUUGUGCGUGCGCGCACGCGCUCUCUCUCUCUCUCUCUCUCUCUCUCUCUCAAACAUUGGAAAUAAAUUCUGAAGCACAGAAAGAUAAAAUUUCUUUAAAAAUCACAAUACGUAUGUAAAUUCUCAAAAUUCAAAUAAGUAAAUCCAUCUUGAAUAGCUCUUAUAAACCUUACUCUUUCUAGAGUUAACUACUGUCAAUGGUUUACUGUUAACUUUUUACCUCUUUCUAUAUACAUAUUAAAAUGUUUUGUUUCUAUGCUUUGACAUAAAUUGAAUUAUUGAUUUUGCAAUUUGCAGAAUUUGGAGAUCUUUGUCAGUAGUUAAGCAUCUUCCUCAUUCUUUGUAACUAUUGCAUAAUGUUCCAAAGGGUGGAUGUGUCAGGUUUUUAUCACUUUAAUGCCUAUUCUCUGGCCUCCUUAUUGCCAAAAUUGGUUGACAAUCUGGAGGUAUUCUGAGAGUGGAAACCAUAUAAAGUGAGGUUCAGAGAACUCAUAAUUUCUUACAGUCUUAAAAAUUACAUUGGUUUAUGCUUGUGUUCUUUAAAAAAAUUUUCUUUAACAUUUAUUCAUUUUUGAGAGACAGUGAGUUGGGGGGAGGGGCAGAGAGAGCGGGAGACACAAUCUGAAGCAGGCUCCAGGCUCUGAGCUGUCAGCACAGAGCCUGACUUGGGACUUGAACUCACAGACCGCUAGAUCAUGCCCUGAGCUGGUGGUAUGCUUAACCAACUGAGCCACCCAGGUGCCCCUAUGCUUGUGUUCGUAAGAUAGAACUUCUUUCAGGUUUUCUAAUACUAAUCAAGUCUUGCACUUUUUAUGUUAAAGGUUUUUUGUUUUUUUUUUUUUUUUUUACACAGAGGAUGUAUAUAUUUGGAAUGUUUAUUUUCGUGUUGCUUAAAAUAACAGAAUGAUGAGUAACAUGUCCAAUAUUUAAUGUUCAGCAUAGAUGUGGGUAAUAGUACCUCACACUCAGCUAACAUUACUGGGAUGAAUGAAUUAUCCACAUGAUGAUAUAGUAAGGUAUUACAAUAAUUUAAGGAGGUCCCUAUUUGAGCAUAGAUCUAACUAGCUGGGUCAUGUCUGCUAUACUAGUGUGGGGAGAAUCUUACUGGCUUGAAACAAAGAUCUUUCCGAUGAGUUGCUGUUGUGCCCUGUGCACGGAAGUAUGAAAUUCCAUUAAAGGAAGCUGUUGUUAGAAAUAAAAUGGCUGAUUUUGUGUAAAAGUAGAUAUGACCCAUGAUCCAUGUGAGACAACCUUGGAGACACUCAUGUCGUUGGGAAACAGCGCAGGCUGGAGAUCCUGCAUUAGCAUCUAGGAGUAGAAGUACUUGUAAGUACCAAGCAGUAUUCUAAGCACAUCACAUUAACUGAAUCCCCUCCUCAUCACUGAGAAGUAGGUGGCUAAUUCCCACAUUGCAUCCUACAGACAAGUGAAUUGCUAGAUGUCACAGUAGGAAGUGGCAGGUCUGUGCCACAUUGCCUUUAUUAAAUGAAGAAUAUUAUGUGGGGAAAAUGGAUGUUAUAAAAGGAGAAAUUAGGAAUGGGGAUCAAAAGGAUUUCCAUCCAGUCUGAAUGUCCUCAAUUAUAAUGUUCUAUUAACAUGAUAAGGGCACUUUAUUUUGAAGUAUGCUUCAUGCCCAGUGUGGAGCCCAGUGUGAGGCCUGGACUCAGAGCCCUGAGAUCAAGACCAGAGCUGAGAUCAAGAGUUGGAUGCUCAA